CCACUCGGACUGCCAGAAUUCACGCGGUUUGCGAACAAUGCUUUGAAUUCUUCCUUGAUUUCCUCGUUUUCGCUGUCUCUCCUUGGCACACCUCUUUGUCAUUCUUAACGUUCUCAUUUCUUGUAAAUAUGAAGAUUGCUUUUAUCGGAUUAGAGGUAAGUGAAGCGAAGGAAAUCUCUGCUGAGAGAUCGUAAGACUUUAUAAAUAUUAACUUGUUUAAUGUACGAGUUAUCUUAGAUCCUGCGAUUAUGCAGCGUCUUUCUCAUUUCAGUGCAAUCAGACGUAAAUGCCUUUUUCUCGCCUAUAACGGUGUUGCGUAAAGGAUUAUAAAGUUAUACGCCAAUUCGCAUUUGCCGACGUAGAACGUCUCAUUUAUUAUUGACGAAUGCAAAAUUGCAAAAGAAGCCUCGUUUACCUGUCUAUUUCAGUAGACGAUUAGUAAUGUUUAACACGUUCUAGCGUUUGGUCGGUUUUCUCGUGUCUCCGUGUGACAGAAAUCUCGUAAACGAUCUAUAAUACUGUGCGUGCUUGCUGCGUAAAUACACGUAAUUAAUAACUAACAUGUCCAAGAGUAUUUCCAAAGUAUUACACCUCGGUGAGUUAUUGCUUAUUUCAAGCAAACGCAAAAUUUCUUGUCGUCGAGACUAUUAAUAAUUCUAAUAAAUUGUUCAGCUCUGUACUGAUUAGAAUCGAUUUGUGCAUGCAGGUGCAAGAGAUGAUCGUGCAAUGAGAUCACAUCCGCAAUGGCAAGUGAUUAGUCAAUGAUCGAGAGACAAAGAAUGACAGAGCAAGUAAAAUUUUUCUUAAAGAUUCCUUGAAGUAUUCUUGUUUCAGAUAAUAACUCAGAGUUACUUAUUAACGACAAAGUUUACGACAAAGUCAUCGCCUAGAGUGUAACUCACAUCAUAUCACGCUGUGAUAAUCGCAGUAGUUGAUGUGCAUGUAACUUUUAACCGUUUAUGUAUGAGGAAAUGCUUGAUUCAAGUUCAUAUUUAAGCUCCACCAAACGCUAAUACUCUCCGACAUUGAAAAGUUUAAGUGGUAUCGUAUUUUUAAGCAGGUUCAACUGUGCAAUCAACGUAAUAUUUAAUAAGAAUCGCCAGGGGACGAAAAUAAGUCCAGGGACAGCGCUUCUGCAGUUCGUGCAAACACUACGUUGCCCGCACACUUGAUUAAUCUCCUAUUUGUGUGAUCACAAGUUCCACGCGAUAUACGAGUAAAUUUACAAAAGGUAUAUCCUCACGUUAACAUUACACAUAAGACGCGCAAUUUUGGAACAACGUGAAACAAUAGCUUCACUCGAUUUUGAAGAAUUUCGAAUCUUUAUUACGCGCGACAGAAUUAUCGCAGAGUUUAAUCUAGUCCAGACUACUUGGAUCAACGAAUUCGUAAAAUCAAUAUGAAAUUUGUGAUCCUUUCCUAACGAAACAAGCGGUGAAUAAAUGAAAAAGUGUAAAUUGGUAAUCAGCCAAAGCCGCGAGCACGAAAGAGCGAAGAGGAAAGCCACGGAAUUUAAACCGCGAAACGCCAAUAUCGGAAUAACCGAAACCGCAAGAAUCAAUGCCGCAAAACAACCGCAGAAGAGUUUUAUUAUGAUAAUCGUUCGAACUGCACGAAACAAAGUGAACUCAUGCCGUAAGAUGAAGCAGAGACAAUUUAAAAUCAAAUUAUUUAUAAAUUAUUACUUCCAAAUAAAAAUAGGAAUCUUAUUGCUGAUCAUCAGAUGACAGAAACCAUUCCUGAUUCUUUGCGGAAAACUCAGAAGAAAUAAAAUGUUUCACAAAGAGUA